AUUGAACGCUGGCGGCAGGCCUAACACAUGCAAGUCGAGCGGAUGAAGGGAGCUUGCUCCUGGAUUCAGCGGCGGACGGGUGAGUAAUGCCUAGGAAUCUGCCUGGUAGUGGGGGAUAACGUCCGGAAACGGGCGCUAAUACCGCAUACGUCCUGAGGGAGCAAGUGGGGGAUCUUCGGACCUCACGCUAUCAGAUGAGCCUAGGUCGGAUUAGCUAGUUGGUGGGGUAAAGGCCUACCAAGGCGACGAUCCGUAACUGGUCUGAGAGGAUGAUCAGUCACACGGGAACUGAGACACGGUCCAGACUCCUACGGGAGGCAGCAGUGGGGAAUAUUGGACAAUGGGCGAAAGCCUGAUACAGCCAUGCCGCGUGUGUGAAGAAGGUCUUCGGAUUGUAAAGCACUUUAAGUUGGGAGGAAGGGCAGUAAGUUAAUACCUUGCUGUUUUGACGUUACCAACAGAAUAAGCACCGGCUAACUUCGUG
rnacentral:rRNA from 1 species